UGAUUUUUGCUUGGGAGACAGAGUCUUAACAUGUACUAUUGGUUUGCCUAGACUUGAUUGCAUACACUAGGCUGGGAUUCAACUCAGAGGCCUUUCUCUUCUGAGUCCUACAGUUAAAGGCAUGUGCCAAUACACCCAGUUUAUCCAUCUUAUUUUUCUUCUCUACAGUUAGUAAUUGUUCAUACAUUUUCUCUUCUGUGUACUCUGUACUGUUAAUCUGUUUAAUUGUCUCUAUGUUUGUCAAUAAACAUUUCUCUUGCAAGGUGAUAUUCCAUUCAAAGGGUACAGAAAUGACAGAAGUGAUCCUCUUAUUCAGUUUCCUUCUAAAGUGACUUGUUGACUACAUUAUAAUUUGUAUGUCAUGAAAGAAGUGUGAGGAGCAUCAGAAUUAUUUGACUCUACUCUCAAAGAAGUAUACAUUUACAAUGUUGUCAGUAUUAUGUUUUCUCUUGUACACAUGUAUGGGAUAUUUUAGAAUGCAUUGACCUAUGAUGAUGUGCAUGUUGACUUCACUUGGGAAGAGUGGACUUUACUGGAUCCUUCCCAGAAGAAUCUCUACAAAGAGGUGAUGAUUGAGACCUACAGGAACCUCACUAGGAUACAAUUGAGAAAACCAUAAUACUGAAGAGCAUCCUCAAAGUUCUAGAGGAGAUGAAAGGUAAUUUUCUUGUGCUAGUUGAUACAAAUGUGCCUCUGAAGAAAUUAAAAUGUGUCCUGGAAGUUUUAAAAAAAAUCAACAGUGUAAAUAACACAGAUUAAAGUACUUCAAUGAUUAUUAAA